AAAAGCCCACCUGGCAGCCCGCACGAUCACCCACCUCUCUCACCCCUUCUUCCCCGACCUACUAGCUUCUACCGCCGGGGGCCAAGGGUCGCGCCGCCGGCUGUGCCUUCCUCCGGCCUCGCACCCCAGCACCGUCCCCAUCCAUUCUACUCCCCUGGCGCCGCCCCUCACUCCCCUCUUUCCUUCUUCCCCAGCGCGCGGAGGUCACCCCAACCCACUCCUACCUCACCUUCCCCGACCCCCUAGCUUCUGCCACCGGGGGCAAGGGCCGCGCUGCCGGGGCCGCGUGCCCGGUGCCCUCCAACCUCCUACCCCGCGCCUCCCCUCCUUCCCAUCUUCCCUACUUCCCCAGACACGCUGCUCCCCUUCCCUCCUCUCCUACCUUUGCAAUCGGCAACGAGGAGCCGCCCGCACGCUGCACCCCCUCCCGGCUAGUCGCGCCGCUACCCACGAGCCUCCCCGCGGCACGCCGACACUCCACGGCCCCGGGCCUGCAGGAAUCCCCCACCCCCGCACCGCCAUGGCGAUGGAUCAGAUCCACUCUUGCGUGACCCCCACCUCGGGUCGGUGUGCUCCUCUACAACGAAAACAAGCAGCAUCAGCCCUCCCCAAGCUCAGUUGACCUCCCGUUCAUGGAUUCGUGAAUGGCACCAGGGGCCACCUACUAUCCUCUCCCAAGCUUCUCUAAAACUAAGCAACGGAAGAGCCUCCUAGUGAGCACUUGCAAUGCGGUGAGCAAUUCAACUAUGUGUUUCUCAGAUUUUGCCUUUAACUUGGUUUGCGUGUGCAGUGUAGUUUCUUGCUACGGGGCUGGCGUCAACGUGCCUCCAGAAGCAGAUCUCUCCUCAACACGUCGCAGUUCCCCAACAACGUGAGAGAAGUGCAAUGCUCUAGGGAGCUCUCCUUCAUGGGGGCACGUGGACGUUCACGGCUGUUGGCUCUGCAGUUCUCUUGUGUGGCCGUGGACGUGCAGUUCAUGUGCCAGUCGAGCCUCUGAGAGGUGACUAACUAAGGAGAAGAGAGCAUCACUGUUCCUUUAAAAGAAGUUCAUUUUGUUGUUUGAGAAAAUGCAGAUAGGAAAUGAGAGUAGAAAAUGGUUGUGGAUGAAUGCUUGUGUGUAAUAGGUAGCGUGCAAGCAAAAAUUGAGUCCA